UUCAAUCAAACAUUGAAAUAAUUAUACAAAAAAUUUUAUUUAGCAAUUAAUUUUUUUAACUAGUUUUUUGUUCCCCAAAAAAAUAUAUUAGCGCAGUUGCAAAAUUUUUUGUUUUUCUUUUUAGUAGUAUUAACAAAAUUUUUGUGUAAUCUCUUGAUUGGUGAGAUUUAUAAACGAAUUAGUAUUUUCAACCGCAAAUAAAUAUAAAAAUUAAUAAAAAAUAUUACCUGCGUAUUAUGGAUCAUUUCAAUGUACCGAAGAAAGUGAAUCGACAUGUUUUGAAAGCAUUGGGAGUUCUGAGUGGUGGCAAUCGCGAUCAAAUCGUUGUCACGUCACAAAUAAUUGACCAAGUCAAGCAUCAAAUGAGAAACUUGGUACCGGUACCCAAUCUCGGUAGGGUUGUGGAAAAGUCAUUACAAAAUCUAAGCGAAAUUGGCUUGAUUGAUCGUCAUGGGAUGUACAGAUAUGCGCUUGGGCGAUGCGCCGCCGUCAUGCCUGGCCCCAGCGCUCAGCCGAAUUCAAGAACUCCUGACCGUCGUGUGUUUCGAGGCAAUAAUCCUCGAAAUUGCAGUCGAAGCAAUUUAGAUCCCAAUAAGAAACGUGCUCGGGGUUGUAGUGACGAGGAAUCCAUCUCAGGCGAUGAAUUUGAUCGCGCGCGGAAACGCAUGCGUACCAAUAAUAAGCAAGUACGUCACUGUGGUCGAUGGGCAUAUCUUCCUCGCGUGCGACAACAUAACCAACGUAGUCAACUUAACCAGCAAGCUCAUUUUAAAUUCAAUGCAUCCCAUAUUUCUCAAGACUUUUACUCGUUGGAUCAUCCAUUAACGCAAUUGCAAGAAUUUCGUUUCUCCAGAGAAUACCGAAACCCUUUUGAAGUUGUUAGUAAUGACAUAAUUAAUAAUACAGCAUUGGAUUUUACCCUAGCCAAUGUGACACCCACACCAUCUCUGGAAAUAACUGAAAUCAAUGAUGAUAUAAAAAAAAUUGUAGAUGUUCGAAAAAUAGUCGAAACGCCACCAUUACAACAACAAAAUGAAGAAAACAACUCGAAUGCGGAUUAUGUAGUGGAGGAAUAUGAGGAGAAAGAGGAGGGCGUACAAACUGAGCAUUUGUCGUCGACAGUAGUACGAGACUAUCAAAGCGAAUUAUGUGGAGAUCGUAAAACAGCCAUUGGGAACGGCAACACGACUAUACAAAUACAAAAUGCACGAAAAAACACAACAAAUCAGAAUCAAAUUUCGAAAUCGUUCACCUCGAGACGUUUACUGAACACAUCCAGUGCUUACGCUUCAGAACAUUCUUCUAAAUCCAUAAUGCCGGAUUACACUAAAUCUUAUAUAAACCAUCUUGUUAUAUGUCAUCUCCGGGCUGGGUAUUACCGCAGGUGCACAUCGCCUUUGGGCUCAUCGCUCCUACAAAGCCAAAUGGCCACUGCGCGUUAUUCUAAUGAUCUUCAACACAAUCGCCUUCCAGGAUGCUGCCUAUCAUUGGGCACGUGACCAUCGUGUGCAUCACAAAUAUUCGGAAACGGAUGCUGACCCACAUAAUGCCACUCGGGGUUUCUUUUUCUCACACAUCGGCUGGCUAUUGUGCAAGAAACACCCUCAAGUCAAAGCCAAAGGUAAAGGAAUGGACUUGUCCGAUCUACGCGCUGAUUCGGUUUUGAUGUUCCAAAAAAAAUAUUACAUGAUUUUGAUGCCACUUCUAUGUUUUUUGAUACCAACUCUGAUUCCGAUGUAUGCUUGGAAUGAAAAAUUCAUAAAUUCAUGGUUUGUCGUUGCUAUGUUCCGUUGGUGU
rnacentral:misc_RNA from 1 species